rnacentral:rRNA from 1 species
CUUUAACACUGAGGCGUGAUGACGAGGCACUACGGUGCUGAAGCAACAAAUGCCCUGCUUCCAGGAAAAGCCUCUAAGCAUCAGGUAACAUCAAAUCGUACCCCAAACCGACACAGGUGGUCAGGUAGAGAAUACCAAGGCGCUUGAGAGAACUCGGGUGAAGGAACUAGGCAAAAUGGUGCCGUAACUUCGGGAGAAGGCACGCUGACAUGUAGGUGAAGUGAUUUACUCAUGGAGCUGAAGUCAGUCGAA